UACGUGGGUGGCGAGCGUUGUCCGGAUUUACUGGGCGUAAAGGGAGCGUAGGCGGGCUUUUAAGUGAGAUGUGAAAUACUCGGGCUCAACUUGAGUGCUGCAUUUCAAACUGGAAGUCUAGAGUGCAGGAGAGGAGAAUGGAAUUCCUAGUGUAGCGGUGAAAUGCGUAGAGAUUAGGAAGAACACCAGUGGCGAAGGCGAUUCUCUGGACUGUAACUGACGCUGAGGCUCGAAAGCGUGGGGAGCAAACAGG
rnacentral:rRNA from 1 species